GUUAAAUUGCAAUACUAUUUUCCAUUGCAGUACUAGAAAUGCUUAUUUGUUUAUGUUUUGCAGUACAUCUAUAACGUUUUUUUCUUGCAUUACGGUAUUGGAAGUUAAAGAAGGAUUGUCAUGAAAAUCAAGUCACUACAAAAAAAACAAAACAAUGGUCUUUAAAUGUGCUGCUUUUUUCAUUAUUUGUAUUUUAUUUUUAUUAUUAUUUUACAUUAUUUUUGGGGGGUGAAAUAUGACCAGGGCAUGUUCUUGAUGGGCUUCAUGAGAUGCACCAAUAAUGAAGUAAUUUCAUUUUUAUUUUUACACUGGAUAAUUUACCUGUGGAGCUGUUAAUGACAAACGUAUUAAAACAGCACGUCAUUUUUAAAAUGUAAGCUUUUAUGAAUCAAAGGGAAAAAAUUAAAUUUUACAUGCAUGUAAAAUCAAUUAUAAUAAAAAAAAAAAAAAAUGAAACCAACAAAUGCACCUUCCAGAAAUACACAAUUAGAACACAAUCUGCAGGGAGAGAAGCAGUUCGAGCCACAGUAUGAGUGAAAGCCUGUAAAGGAGCUAUUUAAUCAGGUUAGUUACUUUAACUACCAGAUCUUAUUGAAUCACUAUGUUUACCAUUUGGUUUGGUUUAGGGCCCUGUUUUAAUUCUCAAGCUUCCAUGUUCCUAACAGUUACUGCUGAACCUUUAAUACAAUGCACAUAUUUUGUUCAAUUGGGUCGCGGUGUCUUACACGGUACAGGCUUAUUCAGGUGAAUCUGGUGCUGAACCAUAUUCCUCGCAGAUUUCAUAGGCGUUUUCCUUCAGAUUCCCAAAUCCGAUGUUGUCGUGGUGCUCUUCGCAACCUGGAAAACCAGCACACGCUUGUACAUACAAACACACUGAUUAAAAGAUGUGCACACACUGGGAAAAUGUAAGAUCACAAAACGACAAAGAACUACUGGGCAACUUCAACUCAUCCUUUUGUUUCUCUUUUAUUCCUUUGUAUAUGUUUUUUUUCUUCUCUGUACUGUGAAUGGUAGUCUCUCUCAGACUGUAUAAUUGUGUAUAUAAUUUGGGUUAUUUAUCAUUUUAAUUUUCUGUCUUUUUUUAAUUUCUUUUGGUUUGUUGUCGUUAUUGUUGUUG